rnacentral:rRNA from 1 species
UACGUAGGGGGCAAGCGUUAUCCGGAUUUACUGGGUGUAAAGGGAGCGUAGACGGAAUGGCAAGUCUGAUGUGAAAGGCUGGGGCUCAACCCCGGGACUGCAUUGGAAACUGCCAAUCUAGAGUACCGGAGGGGUAAGUGGAAUUCCUAGUGUAGCGGUGAAAUGCGUAGAUAUUAGGAGGAACACCAGUGGCGAAGGCGGCUUACUGGACGGUAACUGACGUUGAGGCUCGAAAGCGUGGGGAGCAAACAGG